GGUGAACCUGCGGAAGGAUCAUUGUCGAUGCCUCGCA
rnacentral:rRNA from 1 species